rnacentral:rRNA from 1 species
GACGAACGCUGGCGGCGUGCUUAACACAUGCAAGUCGAGCGGUAAGGCCCUUUCGGGGGUACACGAGCGGCGAACGGGUGAGUAACACGUGGGUGACCUGCCCUCAGCUCUGGGAUAAGCCUGGGAAACCGGGUCUAAUACUGGAUAUGACUCCAUGACGCAUGUUGUGGGGUGGAAAGCCUUGUGCGGCUGAGGAUGGGCCCGCGGCCUAUCAGCUUGUUGGUGGGGUGANGGCCUACCAAGGCGACGACGGGUAGCCGGCCUGAGAGGGCGACCGGCCACACUGGGACUGAGACACGGCCCAGACUCCUACGGGAGCAGCAGGUGGGGAAUCUUGCGCAAGUGGGACGAAAGCCUGACGCAGCGACGCCGCGUGAGGGAUGACGGCC